rnacentral:rRNA from 1 species
GAGGAUGCUUUUGGUGAGGUGCCGCCCGAGUUCCCUGGAACGGGACGCCGCAGAGGGUGAGAGCCCCGUCUGGCUGGCCACCGAGCCUAUGUAAAGCUCCUUCGACGAGUCGAGUAGUUUGGGAAUGCUGCUCAAAAUGGGAGGUAUAUGUCUUCUAAAGCUAAAUAUUGGCCAGAGACCGAUAGCGCACAAGUAGAGUGAUCGAAAGAUGAAAAGCACCUUGAAAAGAGGGUUAAACAGUACGUGAAAUUGUUGAAAGGGAAGCGCUUGUGACCAGACUUGGGCGCGGCGGAUCAUCCGGGGUUCUCCCCGGUGCACUUCGCCGCGUUCAGGCCAGCAUCAGUUCGGCGCGGGGGAAAAAGGCUUCGGGAACGUGGCUCCUCCGGGAGUGUUAUAGCCCGUUGCAUAAUACCCUGCGCUGGACUGAGGACCGCGCAUCUGCAAGGAUGCUGGCGUAAUGGUCACCAGCGACC